AGGCGGGGUACACCCUGAACUGGUUGCCGGCCGAUCGCAGGGCACGUGGAGACACUCACGAUCACACUUAGGUGGCAAUUUGGAGCCCCCGACGAAUGCAUGUUUUUGGGAUGUGGCAGGAAACCGGAGCGACCGGAGAAAAGCCACACGGGCGCGGGGGAGAACAUGCAAACUCCACACGGGCGGGGUCGGGAUUUGAACACGCGAAAACGCUAACCAGCUGCUCCAGAUAAAUCAAUUUGUUGGCGCGCCGUUAGCGUUUCCUCACGUCGAAUGAACGCUUCGGCAACAAAGGCUGGGAAAUAUGAAACAAAGUCCUCGGGUUAAGACGUUUCCACUUUACAACGCCCGUAUCCCCCGUCGGCCAUUUUGUCUGGCUAACGCUUGUCCGCCGGGAGUAUUUUCGCAUUUUUCGCCCUCCUUUUUCAACAUUACCGCCCCCAAAAAAGAAAGCCGUGUCUUUUAGCAACGCUUCUGCAGCCAAAAGAAAAUCCAUUACCAUGGAAACGAAGCUCAAGAUCAUAAAAAGAUUGGAGAAAGGAGAGACGCCAACACCACCGAGGCUUCAGUCGCCCGACCGUGGUGACGAAUAUUAAAGACAAAGGCCGUUGUCAAGUCAACUAACAGGAAGAGCACCUGUCCCCCUCCAGACCUGCAGGGGGCAGAGAAACCUCAAUCACACAACUCUUCAAACUUCCUGUCAGAGGCCAGGGGCGGCCAUAUUGCUCACAGACAGCAUGCGAGCUUGUGUGGACCAAAGAAAGCCGACCAGCCAAAGGAAUAAAUCACGAACAAACAACCGAGGCAACCAAGAAGCAACUAAAAAACCCAAAAGGCACCACCCCUCGGUUUCCGGUCAGACGCAACUGGUUUUCAAGCUAAUCAACCGCGAAUCACCCUCCAAACACCUUAACCAUCAUGAAAAUUGUGAAAAGACGAAGAUUUGAGUUGUUUGAAGACCAAGGCCCUUUUCAAAGAACUGACAGACAACUUGACAGCCGUAUUUUAGCACAUGUCAAGGGUUCCGUUGUUCCUAUGUCGGACACGAUGAUCACAAAACAAGGUUCUUUGAUACUUGUGGGGAUGGGAGAGGGAUUGAGGACCAGGUUCCUUGGCAAUAGCUAAGCACCGCCUCCCCUUCUUCUUCUCCAUCCAACUCUCAGCAGUCAUGCUAAGUAUAUCAUUUUGUUUAUUUCAAUGUAUUUGUUUAUUUUUUAUACAAAGUAUUUUGAUGUAAAUUCCGACUUUAAUGGCGGAAUCCGACUUCAUUCGAAAUCCGAGUAAAGCCGCGACUGUAGCAACGGAUUUCAGUCGUAGUAGACCGAGGACUCCCUGCGGGGUCAAUGUUGCUUUUUCACUGCAGAGCAGGACCCCUGCGCAGUAAAGGAAAAAAUGAAACGCGCCCGUAGCAUCUGCCAAAAUGCGGCAGAUUUUCUGGAAAUUCCAGCCUGCACGGUGCUCCAAAUGAUGGAGACUACAAAAAACAAAAAAAAAAAAAACACAAAACAAAGAUGUGUAAUCCGGCAGCAGAUUAUUACUAAACUGUUCUCGGGCUAGCGCAGCGACGAUAUGAGCGUGUCAACUGAUCCCAAAACAGAUUUAAUCAGCCGGUGCGCAAAAUUCCGCUCACCCGCGUGCCUUGAGCGCAGAAAAUUCCAUGAAUGAAGAUUAUCUGGCAAAGAAAAAGUAGCCCAACCUCGCCCACCCACCUCCCGCGUGAUGUCAGAUCCAACACGAGGAUGUCAACAGAUGCAACGAGGCACACUUGUGACCCGUUUUUGCCCGCGGGCUGCUUGUCGUCGAGGGCGGCUGGCGCCGACAAAAGGGAACGUUCACUUUUGGAAUGCUGCGCUGACAGGCACAAAGGAUUACACGCUGCGCUUGUUGUGCGCUCGCCGCGGAUUUAAAUUCAACACGGCUAUUCCAACAAAUGUACGAAGCAGCUCAGAUGUGGGACACUUUGGAGAGCCACAAAACUGGAAAUGGACCUGAGGAAUCAUUCUGGUCCAACACAACAAAUCACAACUGGACACAAACUUUAACGAGCAGAUACAUAACAUACAUAUAACAUACACUUGUUUGUUCUUUUUUGCACUACGUGGUGUAACAGUACGCCAUAAAUGUGUGCCGUAUGUAUCUAAUUUUUUAGAUCAUGGUAAAGUUCACAUCAGGCGAGAAAAUGCAAUAACUUUUCUUGUUUUUUAUAUGAAAAUAAAAUAAAUACAGUGCAGUUUUUUUUUUUUUUGUUUGUUUUUUAUCAAUGAUGUUGAAUCUUGUGUGACAGCACAAAUCUUUUCUUUGAGGAAAGUGCAACAACAAUAAUUUGUCUUCUUUUUAGGAAACCGUAACAUCAAUAUUUGUUGGUCCAUUUAGGAAUGUGCAACAGUUUUUAAUGGGAAAAUGCAAUAUUAGUAGUGUUAUGUAUGUGUGUAUUCUUAUUUUACUUUAUUUUCCUUUCAUACGUUGCUGAGUUAUUAUGAUGCGGAUCUUUUGCGAUGCGGGAUUCUGGGAUGUUCCGAGAAGGUCUGUCGACGGGAGCUUCUUACGGCCGCCGCUGCCUUCCGUCAAGUACACAAUUCCUUCGUCUUUUGGACGUUUCUGGAACGUUCGUUCGCUCGGAAUAUUCGCUGGGAAGAACAUUUGCCUGUUUGGGAACCUUCGUUCGACUUUGAAAAUAUUGUUCCCGUGCAUGACACAAUCCAACUAUCGAGGCUCAUCGUCCCACGAAACGAGCCAAUGGAAAAACGUGGCGCAACUCCUGCAGAUAAUUCUGUGGCGACUGAGCGCAUCUCCCGACAUGUACAAUAAACGAUCCGCGCCGCCGAACGGGUGGAAAACGCACGACACGUGACAAGUAGGCGACGCCGCGGUCAUCAUUUAUAAGCUUCAGAGUGGAAAGCAACAAUAAGAAACGUGGCACAUGGAGACAAACAGCCGCACUCACAAUCGCACCUAUGGGCAAUUUAGAGUGUUCAAUCAAUGUUGCAUGUUUUGAGGAUGUGGGAGGAAACUGGAGUGCCCACCCGGAGAAAACCCACGCAGGCACGCGGAGAACAUGCAAACUCCACACAGGCGGGGCCGGGAUCGAACCCGGGACCUCAGAACUGUGAGGCCGACGCUUUCCAGCUGAUCCACCAUGCCGCCCUCUAUAAAUAUGUCAUACAUUUACAUAACACUUUAAUCAAGACUGCGUUUCUAUAUUGGUAGGUCGAAAUGAGUGUUGUAGAGUUAAAUUAGUUAGCGUAGCAGAUUAUUAAAUUUAAUCAACUAUAAAAAUCCGUCACAAUUGUGAGUAUAGGAAUUAAUAAAGAGAAAAAUGUUUUUUUUUCUCCUGUUUCUGACACAUUGGAUAACAGGUUUAAUUGACAGAUUGCAAAGCUGUUUUUUUUAGUUUUUUUUUUUUUUUACUAUUUGACAUUGUGAAUAAUGGAGUUAAUGAUGGAAAAUAUUGAUUGGGAUUUUUUUUUUCCAUUUCUGACUAAAGGUCAACCAUCCUGUUAUGUUGCAGGUGCAGUUGACCUAUUGUAAAGGCUUUUUUCAAUAAGUUCUGCGGUUAAUGAAUGGAUUCACCUCAACAAAUCCAUUGUAAUGGUGAAAAAUGGAGGGAAUAAUGAGUUUAUAUAAUAAUAGUGUGUUUUGGUAAGGCUUGGUCUUCGAUACAACUAUUAAAAAAGUGUAAUACAUAUUUGGAGCUGUACGAUCUUAAUGAUGUGCAAUAGAAAACGGAUGGAUGUGUGUUUUCAGGACUUUUAAAAAUAUAGGUUUCAUUUACCGUUAAAAUUUCAUGCUGGGUCCGCUGGAAUUCUCUUUUUUUUGGGGGGGGGGGGGGUUAUUGUAGUACAUGUCAUUGGCUCAACCCCUCCACCCCCACCCCAUUUACUAUUGUCAAGUGUGUGGUUUAAAAGUUACAGAGCAGAAACAAACAGUCGCUAGCCCUUGUCAGCAUUUGUAAGCAGUAUAAAAUUAAAAAAAAAAACGGUUGUAAACAGACGUGGUGAGGUGUGCCUUAGGUGUGACAGAGGAAUUUAAGGUGGAGGUGGGACUGCAUCAGGGAUCAGCUCUGAGCCCCUUCCUGUUUGCAGUGGUAAUGGAUAGGCUGACAGAUGAGGUUAGACUGGAAUCCCCUUGGACCAUGAUGUUCGCAGAUGAUAUUGUCAUAUGCAGUGAAAGCAGGGAGCAUGCAGAGGAACAAUUGGAAAGAUGGAGACACGCACUGGAAAGGAGAGGAAUGAAGAUUAGCCGAAGUAAAAGAGAAUAUCUGUGCGUGAAUGAGAAAAGUGGAGGGGGAAAAGUGAGGCUACAGGGAGAAGAGAUGGCGAGGGUGGACGACUUCAAAUACUUGGGGUCAACAAUACAGAGGAAUUAUGGUAAUUUUAAGAACUUUUACAUUUUUUUUUUACAAUUUUCAUUUUAAUUCAAGGGCGGCGUGGUUGGGUAGCUGGUAAAGCGUUGGCCUCACAGUUCUGUGGUCCGAGGUUCAAUCCCGGACCCGCCUGUGUGGAGUUCACAUGUUCUCCCUAUGCCUGUGUGGGUUUUCUCUAGG